rnacentral:tRNA from 1 species
GGAAGUCGGAGGUUAAACUCCUCCCUACUGC